AAUAGAAAUCUAUGAAAUUUAAACAUAAGGUUUAUGACCAUAAAAGGAAGGUUGGGAUUGAUUUUGGGAGUUUUGGUCCCAACAGUUUAGGAAUUAGGGGCCAAAAGGGUCCAAAAUUAAACUUUGUUUGAUUUUAUCAAAAAAUGAAUUAUUGGGAUUCUUUGAUAUGCCAAAUCUAACCGUGUAUUUAGAUUCUUAAUUGUUGGUCCUGUUUUCAAAUUGGUCUACAUUAAGGUCCAAAUGGUCAAAAAUUAAACUUAGUUUGAUUUUAACAAAAAUUGAAUUAUUGGGGUUCUUUGAUUUUGAGUUUGCCAUUUGAUUUGGGACUUUCCUUUUUGAAUUUUCCUCGGAGUUCAGUAUUUUUGUGUUUUUACUUUUUAUACAUACCAAUAAGUAUAGUAUUAAAUUUAGUUAUAUUAUUUUUAAAAUCUUUAUUGCAAAACUACACCUAUUUAUAAGGGUCACUCAAUAACAAAUAAAAUACAUACAUACACGAAUACAUACAAAAAUACAUACAAGAAUACAACGUAUCAACAAUUAAAUUGACAAACAAAUGUAAAUUUACUACAGUGUUAUACGCAUCAUGAACCUAUCUGACAUUGAUCGGUUUUCCUCAGAUCUACAGACUCGUAAAUUAAGAUGCCAAUUUGACAAACAGGUUCAGCGGUGAAACAUAGGUAUUAAAUAUAAGGAUCACAAUCUUGAAAGUAUGACACUUUGUCUCUCAGAUGAGCAAACAAAUUUGGACGUAAUGACAUACAUGUGCUAAUAUCACAAUAAAACAUGAAAUGAUUUUCAUUAUCUUAGUCUUUAAAUUUUAUUACACAAUCUUUGUACUUUUUAGAUGUUCAUAUAUAUAUCUACCUACAUCAAUACCUAGGGAUUGAUCCCUUAAUUCUAAAUCUUAAAAACAAUGUGAACAUGUGUAUGCAUGAUUUUUAUACAACUAUUUCUUGUCAACGUUAUUAUAAGUACAUGUACCUAUCUAUUUUCUAACUAUCUGUCCACUUUUAACUAACGUGAACGAGUUAAAAUAGGUUUAAUUUACCAUUUCCUACACAAGAAAAUGUCUGUACCAAGUCAUGAAUAUGAUUAAGGACUUUUGAAUAUUCCUUGGAGGUCGGUAUUGUUGUUAUUUUACUUUUUGAUUAAUAUAUUACUAUCUAUACUCAUAUCUUAUAGAUACAAAUUUGAAUGAAUGAAUGAAUAUUUUAAUAUUAAAGUGCAACCUGAAUUAUAACAAACAAUUACAUUUAUAUAUACAAGUAAUUUUCAGCCAGCCAAAUAGGCUUAUAAUGCAUUGUACAUUGUGUUUCAUUAUUGAAAAUAAAAUAAAUAAAUAAAUAUAGUUCAAAUUUACACGCAAAUUAUAGGAAGGCACGUUAACAGUUGAUCACAGAUUACUGAUUGUAAAACAGUUCAAAAUAAAGUUAGAAACAAGCUUGCUGUAAUUACAAAAUAAAUGUUUUAAUUUUAUGUUCGC
rnacentral:lncRNA from 1 species